ACACUCGAGCUCACACUCUUGUCCCCCUCUCACCCACCCCUUCUCGCUCCCCUCCAGAUCCCCACUAUCGCCGGCCUCUCCUCGCCGCCGUCACCGGCCUCUCCUCGACUCCCUUUCUCUCCACCACCAUGCACCCCGUUUCCUCCCACCGCGCACCCCGCACCGUAGGUCAAAAGCUUGAUUUUUUAGGCGCCAGCGACAAGCUUCUGGGCGGCGGGGGCUAGAUCCGCGUGCAUCCAUGCCGGCUUCGCAGCGGUGCUUGAUGUGGAGUGGCGCUGGAGCAGCGGAGCGGGGCUUUCUUCCUCACCUCACAGUGCCGUCCUCCUCCACGACCAUGCAACCGCAACAGCGGAGGAGCCGAAUCCCUAGCCAGCGAGCUCAGGUAGCCAUGGGUCCAUGGGGCGACGCCAUGGAAGGGCCACCAACUACACCAGCGAGGAGAGGAGAAAGAGAGUAGCCUGAUGGUCGUCUUCCACCUCCGCCUAUGCCCCCACCCUCCACCUCCACCUACGCCCCCGCCGGAAAUAGUACAAUGGCCAAGGAAAUAGGCAGGAGGCGCUGCUUCCCGGAUGGACAUGGACAUGCUUCUCCAACUCUGCUUCUUCCUGGGUCGCCAUGGAAGCUUAAACAAGUAUAGGACGGGUAGAUGUCACGGGCUGGAUUUUGUGCGGGCAUGUGGGACACUGCGCGAUGGCUGUCAUACGAGGCGGGGGAUCGAAUGAGGUGGUCGAACCACGAGUGGAGAAAGUAGUAAGAAUCUAAGAAAGCCGAAGCCUUCCAGCACACUGCAACAAUAGGAAGAGCACAAGUCGAACAGGGACACAACUCACACACUACGGUGGACAGAAAGGUAACUACAUUGCUGAAAUAGUUGAUGAUGGCAAACCUAGGGCAUGAUGGGCACCGUUGAAUAUAACAAAGGUGGAUCUCCAUCCUUUGUAGCAACAGCCAUCGCCUCGCAACAGGAUCUUCGUCCUUUGCAGCAACAGCCGUCGCCUCGCAACAGCCAUCGAGCGAAGGUUAUGUUUCGGACGCCGAGGUUGCGGUGUAGUUGUGAUGAUCACACAACUGGGUCGAUGGAGCUCGUACGCGAGGAAGAACUGGCAUUUAUGUCCCUGGUGGCGACGUGCGUUGGCGGGUCGAUGGAGCUUGUUCGAUGGUUUGAUUUUUGGUAGAUGGACCUCGUUCGUGGGUUGCCGAACUGUUUUGUUUGUUGGCUAGGUGUGUGAUAGUGGGGUUUGGCUCGUUUGACUGGUGGUCCAUGGGCCGAAUAUCGAAUGAGUUGGCCUUGGUUUUUUGGGCUUG